CAGUAAUAUACAAAUCCCCUCUGUCUAAGCAAACCCCUGCGUUUUCUAACCCCUCUCUAUUUCUUUCCAACCUUUUACCUACCAUUAACAAAACCCAACUUCUUCUUCCAAAUGGGGUGGCUUCAGUCCUUCAUCUCCCCAUUGAAGAAGUUCUGGGAUCGUCUUCACUCCAGCCACAGAAAGCGUACAGGGAUAUACAUUCUGUACAAGGAUGUGAAGUCUUGCCCUUGUGAAGACGUGCAUGUCCUAUGGUCAAUACUGGUCGAAUCACAUCCAGCCGCUGCUUCUUUGAAAUCAAAAUAACUAUGAAGUCCUGACGAAGACUUUUCUUUUCUGUAGAGUGUAGAAGGAUGUUUGCUACAAUAUGAAUCCAACUAGCUCAGUUUGGCUAGAUGUGAUGUUCAGGAAUGUGAAUUACGUACAAGAAGAUGGACCUGCCGUUUCUGACGAUGGAUAUACAGGUCGAGGCAGUAUUUAUAGCUGUUCUGCUACCAGCAUACGAAGACCAAUGGUUUGCCGACAUAUAUGUUGUAUAUAGUUUGAUCAUAAUGUGCUUUGUGUACAUAACUAUGCACUACAUUAUGCUCAUAUAUGCUAUGUUUUUCCUUCCUGUAUAAAGCACACUAGUUUCGUUUUCCAGCUCUAUAUCCAGAAUACAAUCAAAGGAGAUCACCUCUCUGGUUUUCCCAGAUAUCAUGGCUAGGUAUCUCCGAAUCAUCUAUCUUGUAAGAAAAGAAGGAAAAAGAAUUAGGCAUCUAUAAUACACUCUCUUUUUUU